UUAACUGCAUAUGAUGUAUAGGCUACUGUGAUCUUAGUCUGACAUGUUACUCUUUUCAUGUAUUAUUUUCUUUGAUAAUAUUGAGAAUUUAAUGGGUUGUGUGUUCUUAUAGAUACUGAUGGACGGAUUGUAUUAUUGGACCCUCCAGAAAGAACACAGUCUGUCACAGUUGAUGAAGAUGAUGAAGAUGACGAUGAAGAGACCACAUCUGCUGUGACAGAAGUGGCCAAUGCUGGUAGAUCUACUGAGGUAUGAUGCAUACCAUUAUAAUGUAUGGCCGCUUUUUGCAUUAGAGUAACAAACUGUCAUUGUCCUUUCACAGUACAUACCUAGGGAUUUGCCCACACAUGAGGGUCCUUCAACCUCAGCACACAAUCUAAGCAGGUUGCCAGCAAAGGAGCUGUAUAAGGUCCAUCUUCAAAAACAAAUAAGAAAAAGUGACAUGGAGAUGGACCUUUACAGCUUCAAAUGGAAGAGAAAAGGCUCCUCAUUAAAAAAGUAGCACUUGAAAUUGAAUUACUGGAGCAUCGCCUUAAGGUGAGAACUUGUCUGAAUAUUAAUCUGUUGCAUGUUAAGUGUUGUGUGA